rnacentral:rRNA from 1 species
CGGGCUCAAACCUAAAGAACCUAAAUAUCUAAACGGAGAAAUUCAAUACUACCGUUAAAACGUAGUGUGCACUUUUCUCUUAGUAAGACGCCGUGAUCCAUUAGAAAUUGAUACAUACAAAAUGUAUAUUGGGUCAUCAAUAGGCCAGCAUGAAGUUUAUCGGAACAAAUGGCGCGAUCUUUUACGGUUGUGUGUAUUGUCUGGUAAGCAUGUUGUGUCCUGUAAUGACUGUCUGAUGGAUUUUAAAGAUAAUAUCAAUGAUGUCAAGGCAUCACUCAUUUCGAUGAGAAUUACGAUAAAUGUCUGAUCAACGGCGGUCAAAUUUGGGAUACCUUUUGGACCCGUCUUGAAACACGGACCAAGGAGUCUAUCUAGUAUGCGAGUAAAUGGAUAAUUAAUGAAAUCUAUUUGCGAAAUAAACUUGACUUUUAUGGGAAUACGAGAAUAAUAUUUAUAUUUUCUCUUCCAUCCCGGGGUAUUUUCAUCAACAUAUGCUUGCAUAUGGGAAAUAUACCAUGAGCACACUGGAUACGACCCGAAAGAUGGUGAACUAUGCCUGAUCAGGUCGAAGUCAGGGGAAACCCUGAUGGAGGACCGAAGCAGUUCUGACGUGCAAAUCGAUUGUCAGAAUUGGGCAUAGGGGCGAAAGACCAAUCCAACCAUCUAUACGGG